AUUUAUUAAAAUGGCUGUCCACCUUUACUGCCCAGUCACCCUAGUUGUCCAAGACCUGGAACAUCAUAACUAAAAAAUGGGACAUGCUAGACGAAAAGAUUUUUCAGAUUUGGAGUCGAUACUGCAGAUGUCCAAGAAGGAAAACAAACAUCCUGGCUGGGAAGGAGGAUAAUCUGUUACGUAUACAGAGAGACGAGUUGGCUGGCUGGACGAAGAAACAACCUUAUGCCCAGCCAGAAUAAUAUGAUGGUUGGGCCAGCGGAAUCCUGAAGUUGGGAGCAGUUCCAUUUUCCAUAUGGCAGUGGUGCUCUUGUGGUGGUCCAAUUGGGAGACCUGCAGAGGUGCUUGGGACUUUGAGUCUGGAAGUGCAACUUUGUCAGGGUCCCUGGGUACCAGUAGAGGGUGCUGUCAGGGGGAGCCCUCCCUACUUUCCAUAUGACCUAAAAGUGUUUCCAAGUGGACACCCUGUGGCAUGGGAAGUAUUCCUGGGUCUGGCUUAAACACCCUCAACUGGAGGACAGAAGGAGGAAGAAUUUAUUUGAUUUAUUGGUAUUGUGGCUGAUCUUUGAAAGGGUGAUCAUUGUAAGGGUGUUUUGGGUGAAUAAAUAUCUUAUUUUA